rnacentral:rRNA from 1 species
GAUGAACGCUGGCGGCGUGCCUAAUACAUGCAAGUCGAGCGAAUGGAUUAAGAGCUUGCUCUUAUGAAGUUAGCGGCGGACGGGUGAGUAACACGUGGGUAACCUGCCCAUAAGACUGGGAGAACUCCGGGAAACCGGGUCUAAUACCGGAUAACAUUUUGAACCGAAUGGUUCGAAAUUGAAAGGCGACUUCGGCUGCCACUUAUGGAUGGACCCGCGUCGCAUUAGCUAGUUGGUGAGGUAACGGCUCACCAAGGCAACGAUGCGUAGCAGACCUGGGAGGGGGAUCGGCCACACUGGGACUGAGACACGGCCCAGACUCCUACGGGAGGCAGCAGUAGGGAAUCUUCCGCAAUGGACGAAAGUCUGACGGAGCAACGCCGCGUGAGUGGUGAAGGCUUUCGGGUCGUAAAACUCUGUUGUUAGGGAAGAACAAGUGCUAGUUGAAUAAGCUGGCACCUUGACGGUACCUAACCAGAAAGCCACGGCUAACUACGUGCCAGCCGCCGCGGUAA